rnacentral:rRNA from 1 species
UACGUAGGGGGCGAGCGUUGUCCGGAUUUAUUGGGCGUAAAGAGCGUGUAGGCGGCCAAGCAGGUCAGCUGUGAAAACCCGAGGCUCAACCUCGGGCCUGCAGCCGAUACGGGCAGACUAGAGUUCGGCAGGGGAGACUGGAAUUCCUGGUGUAGCGGUGAAAUGCGCAGAUAUCAGGAGGAACACCGGUGGCGAAGGCGGGUCUCUGGGCCGAUACUGACGCUGAGGAGCGAAAGCGUGGGGAGCGAACAGG